CAAAAACUGCAGUUACUUUUGU
rnacentral:miRNA from 1 species